rnacentral:ncRNA from 1 species
GGGGAUAACUAUUGGAAACGAUAGCUAAUACCGCAUAAUCUCUUCGGAGCAAAGAGGGGGACCUUCGGGCCUCUCGCGUCAGGAUUAGCCCAGGUGGGAUUAGCUAGUUGGUGGGGUAAUGGCUCACCAAGGCGACGAUCCCUAGCUGGUCUGAGAGGAUGAUCAGCCACACUGGAACUGAGACACGGUCCAGACUCCUACGGGAGGCAGCAGUGGGGAAUAUUGCACAAUGGGGGAAACCCUGAUGCAGCCAUGCCGCGUGUAUGAAGAAGGCCUCGGGUUGUAAAGUACUUUCAGUUGUGAGGAAGGCGUUG